rnacentral:lncRNA from 1 species
GUUCUUGAAAGCACUAUUUAUAGACUAGAGGGAGCCCCUUAGGGGCAGGAUUUGAUACUACUCAUCUUGUCCCCUUGGGAUCAACACUGAGCACGUGUCUUAGUGAGUCUCAGUGGUGUGGUUUUUCCUUGCAGGGGUGAUCAUUUGGUUCGAUAACACCAAAGGCUGGAUGAAUUUACCCAGAGAGGACCGUAAUGAAAAUCUGAAAUAACCUUUAUAAUUUUCAAGUGAGGAAAUGAAGGCCAAACAUGAGAGGCUACAAUAAGAGUAUACUGGGCAUUGUGCCAAGAACAGGGGAUAUAAUGAUGAACAAGAAACAGAUACAAACAAAUAAGAGAUGAUCUGUGCUACUUUGAGGAAAAACUCAAAGCGACCAGGAAAGAAAGAAGAUGGAUCCGGGAGCAUGGUAUUUUAUAAACACAGGCAAUUCCUUCUGUGUAUCACUGCCAUGAUGUUGGAAACACUGCAUCGCCAGUAACCAGCAGAGAGCCUGGGACAUAGCAGGCAUGUGAUCAUGUUGAAUAACAACACUCACGAAUAAAUGAAAGGCACUUUUAGAACA